rnacentral:lncRNA from 1 species
UAAACCUUUGAUAUUUGACAAACUUUCCAAAAUCAAAUUACAAAUUAUGUAUUUUUCUGACCUAAUUAAUCCUCUAAGAUAUUAGGUUCCCUAAAGUCCAAAAAUGACAUAAUUUGGCUUAUUUGGUAUAAAAAUUAUACAGGAAGCAUUGUCAAAUAUGAAAUGGUGUUUGGUUUUCUUUGGGCUGUGAUUGUAUAAAUAUGUUAUUGGUAUGUGUUUCAAAAUUAUGAGAAACUUCUAUAAUUAUGAUAUGACUUAGUGUAUGUUAUUAGUAAUAAUUAUAAUCGUUAUGUUAAAUUUUUGUAUACUACAGAGGUAACAAAUUUCCUUGUCAAUUGUGUCUUUGACUAUGGCUGCCCUAAAACUUUUUGUCAUCCAUGGACAAUUGUUGUCUUGUUUUUGUCCUCUUUAGAAAGUGGUUUUAUAAUCAGCUAUAAAACUCUAACAGGUGCUUCUGAACACAGGUUUCUGAUAACUUUGGAGAUUGUGACAUCAGAAUAGGGAAAAAACUUUCAGGACUCAUGGAGAGCUGAAAUGUUCAUGAAUAUCAAGCAGAACAGGAAUUAACAGCAUGGACUGAACUAACAGAAGAUUGAAGUAAUCUUUUUGACUUUUGGUUUAAAAUGUUGCUGAUCAUUUGUUUUUUUGUCAGAGUCAAGAAAACUUUUCUUUUGAGUUAUUGACAGCUUUUAAGAAGUUAGUAUACUCCUAUGAACAAAAUUUGGAGCAUAUUUUUUUCUCUCUACCUGAUUUCUCCAGAAUUUGGAAACUAUUUGUGAGUAGUCUUAACUUAUGGCAAUACAGGUAUUUGAAUAAGUCUAAUAAGAAGCUGUUUUCCUUUGUAAUAGGACACAACUGGAGAACCUGGUUAUUUUACCAAGACUUUGACUGGAAUGGUGUGCUUUCCUUUAAGGAACUGAACUUGACUUAUGGAGCCAAUAAAAGCCCCUUGGGAAAACUGGCCUCAUACCUUGUUUACACAGUCCUUGUACAGGGUUCCUGACCGGUGGUAAGUAAAGAAUCUCACUUUCUGACAGGCCCAGGAGCCCCAAGUUUUAUGUUGGGACCUCAAGAGGAGAGGAAUUGACCCAACUCAUAGGUAUUUGAUGGUACAAAUCCAUGGCUGGGUUGGGUUUUUACAAAGUCUUAUCUGAGAUUCCUUCUAUGGAACAAAGUUCCAUUAAAGCCAAUAUAAAAGCCUAUGUAAAAAAUAAUUAUUCUUGCAGCACUGUAUACAAAUAACUGGGCCAAGUAUAAUAAAGCAAAUCUGUCCUACCAUGAUGUGUCUUUAGUAAAAAUAGGAAACUGGAGAAAAAUUAUGUUUCAAAAACUAUAGUAUACCUGUUGUUAGAUUCUAGUCUUGUCUAAUGUUUUUCAAUUUUUAUUAUUUUCUACAAUUUGGACUGAAUUCUAAUUUUUCUUGGCUACAAGUCUUCAAAAUAAUGUUAAUAUUUUUUCCUUUUUUUCCUCACUUUUCUUAAUUUGGAGUCACAAAAACUAAGCUGUGCUUUCAUAAAGCCCUGUGAACUGAAGCUAGACAACUUAAACUUCAGAAGAAAAUAAUGGUAACCUAUUUACAUACAUAAGCCACUUUCAUACCUGCCUACUGAUGGAUCGACUUCACAGUAAUGUGGCCUAUAUUGAUUUUCCAAGAUUGUUCUUUUGUCUGUUGUUGUUUUUCUCCCUUCUCCCCCUAUUUUCUCUUCAUAGGACAUGAGACUUAACAACCUGCUAAAAAUGAGCUUUCCUAACAACUUGGGACCUACCUGUCUAGGAAUAAACCAUUAUAGCCAUGACAGAUCAGAUGAAACCUGAGAUCAGAGACUCAUUUUCUUCUAAAAUGCUUUCUCCAAAAGAUUUUAAAAAAGAAAAGGGGGAGUAUGUCAAAGGAAAAUCAGUCUUGGGGCCUCCAAAUCACUGAGCUAAAGGGAAAAGUCAAACUGGGAACUGUUUAGGACCAACUUGCCUCCCAUUCUAUUCAAAGACACCCCUCUGCUUACUGAGAUAAAUGCAUAUCUGAUUACCUCCUUUGGAGAGGCUAAUCAGAAACUCAAAAGAAUGCAACCGUUUGUCUCUUAUCUACCUAUGACCUAGAAGCCCCCUCUCUGCUUCGAGUUGUCCUGCCUCUGCUUCAAGUUGUCCUGACUUCCUGGACCAAACCAAUUUUCAUCCUACAUAUGUUGACUGAUGUUUCAUGUCUCCCUAAAAUGUAUAAAACCAAACUGUGCUCUGACCAUAACUCCUCAGAACUUGCUAAGACUGUGUCAUGGGCACACAACCUCAACUUUGGCAAGAUAAACUUUCUAAAUUAGCUGAGACCUGUCUCAGAUAUUUGGGGUUCAUGAAGGCUACUAUGAACAUCUUUACACACACAAACUAGAAAAUCUAUAAGAAGUGAAUACAUUCCUGAAAAUAUACAACCCUCCUAGAUUAAUUCAGGAAGAAAUAGAAACCCUGAAAAGACAAAUAACAAGCAGCAAGAUUGAAUAAGUAUUAAAAAAUGCCAACAAAAAUGUCCAGGACUAGAUGGAUUUACAGCUGAAUUCCACCAGACAUUCAAAGAAGAAUUGGUACCAAUCCUACUGAAACUAUUCCAAAUGAUAGAGAAAGAGGGAAUCUUCCCUACAUCAUUCGAUGAGGCCAGCAUCACCCUAAUACCAAGACCAGCAAAGGACAUGUCAAAAAAAGAAAACUACAGACCGAUAUUCCUGAUGAACACAGAUGCAAAAAUCCUCAACAAAAUACUAGUGAACUAAAUCCAACAGCAUAUCACAAAGAUAAUGCAUCAUGAUCAAGUGGUUUCAUACCAGGAAUGCAGGAAUGGUUUAACAUAUGCAAGUCAAGUCAAUAAGUGUGAUAUAUUACAUAAACAGAAUUAAAAACAAAAACCAUAUGAUCAUCUCAAUAGAUGCAGAAAAAUAAUUUGAUAAAAUCUAGCAUGACUUUUUGAAAAAAACCCUCAACAAAACAGGCAUAGAAGGGACUUACUUUAAAGUAAUAAAAGCCAUAUCUGACAAACCCACAGCCAAUGUCACACUAAACUGGGAAAAGUUGAAAGCAUUCUCCCUGAGAACAGGAACAAGACAAGGAUGCUGACUUUCACCACUUCUAUUCAACUUAGUACUGGAAGUCCUAACCAGAGCAAUCAGACAAGAGAAAGAAAUGAAAGGAAUCCAAAUCAGAAAAAAGGAUGUCAAACCAUCGCUGUUCACAGAUUAUAUGAUUGUAUAGCUAGAAAACCCUAAAGACUCAUCCAAAAAGCUCCUAGAUCCAAUAAACAAAUUCAGUAAAGUCUCAGGAUACAAAAUCAAUGUACAAAAAUCAGUAACACUGGAAUACACCAAAAAUGACCAAGCUGAGAAUCAAAUCAAGAACAACAGCUGCAAUAAAAAGAAAACCUUAGGAAUACACUUAACUAAGGAGGUGAAAGAUCUCUACCAAAAAAACCCUACAAAACACUGCUGAAAGAAAGAUAAGUGAAAUAAACAAAUGGAAAUAAGUUCCAUGGCCAUAGAUGGGAAGAAUCAACAUUGUGAAAAUGACUGUACUGCUCAAAGCAAUCUACAGAUUCAAUGCAAUUCCCAUCAAAAUACCAUAAUUCUUCACAGAACUAGAAAAAACAAUCCUAAAUUCAUAUGGAAGCAAAAAAGAUCCCACAUAGCCAAAGAAAUACUAAGCUGAAAGUACAAAUAUAAAGGCUUCACAUUACCCAACUUCAAGUUAUACUACAAGGUUACAGUUAUCAAAACCGCGGGGUACUGGUAUAAAAAUAGGCACAUAGACCAAUGGAACAGAAAUAGAGAACCUAGAAAUAAAGCCAAAUACUUGGAGCCAACUGAUCUUUGACAAGGCAUACAAAAACAUACAUUGGGAAAAGGACACCCUAUUCAAUAAAUGGUGCUGGGAAAACUGGCAAGCCACAUGUAGAGGAAUAAAACUGGAUCUCCAUCUGUCACCUUAUACAAAAAUCAACUCAAGAUGAAUCAAAGAGUUAAAUCUAAGAUCUGAAAUCAUAAAAAUUCUAGAAGAUAACAUCAAAAAUACUCUUCUGGACAUUGGCUUAGGCAAAGAAUUCAUAAUUAAGUACCCAAAAGCAAAUGCAACAAAACAAAAAUAAAUUGCUUCUUCAUAGCAAAAGAAAUUACAGAGUAAACAGACAACCCACAGAGCGGGAGAAAAUAUUCACAAACUAUGCAUCCAACAAAGGUCUAGAAUCCAGAACCUACAAGGAACUCAAAUCAGCAAGAAAAAAACAAAUAAUCCCAUGAAAAAGUGGGCAAAGGUCAUGAACAGACACUUCUCAAAAGAAGAUAUACAAAUGGCCAACAAACACAUGAAAAACUGUUCAACAUCACUAAUUCUCAUGGAAAUGCAAAUCAAAACCACAGUGAGACACCAGCUUACUCCUGCAAGAAUGGCCAUAAUUAAAAUGUCAAAGAACAAUAGAUGUUGGUGUGGAUGUGGUGAAAGGAAACACUUUUACACUGCUGAUGGGAAUAUAAAUUAGUACAACCACUACAGAAAACAGUAUGUGGAUUCCUUAAAGAACUAAAAGUAGAUCUACCAUUUAGUCCAGCAAUCCUGCUACUGGGUAUCUAGGAAAGGAAAAUAAGUCAUUACAUAAAAAAGACAGCUACAUGCAUAUAUUUAUUACAGCACAAUUCGCAAUGGCAAAGAUAUGGAAGCAACAUAAGCGCCCAUCAAUUAAUCAAUGGGGAGACUGUGGCUCAAUGAGGUCAAACAAUUUGCAGUCAGGGAGUAGGGAUGCUUUGAAUAUGGCCAUCAUCUCACUGGCUCACUGUGGGGGAGUGAUGCCAGGAGGACUUCUGUUCCACCAUCUUGCUGAUGUUACUCUCCCUCACUAAAACAUUGUGUGUGCAACUAGGGUCAUCUGGGCAGCUGAAAAAAAAAGUCAAAGAAAAACUAAGGCCUUCCUUUCCUAUCACCCAUCAAUGUUGGCAGAGAUGGAAAAAACAGGCACCGUUUAGGUGCUGGGAAUGGAGCAGUGAACCACACUGACAACAACUCCCUGCCUUCAUAGAACCUGCCUUCUAGAAAGGGAAGACAGAGCAAAAAAAAAAUAAACUGGAUCAAAGCUAUACUCAACUUCAAGAUGACUGUUCACUGAGAAAUGUGAAAUUAAUAUGAAAUAUGAAAGAAAACUCUUACUAUGUAAAUGAAUCACAGAAUCCAAGAAAGAUGUGCCGGAUGGGAACUAGAGGUCAUCUAGAUUGCAUUCUGUCUAAUCAGAUCAUAUGAAGGAGCCAAAGCUGUCUUCCUGUUAGCUCCAGAGUAAAAGUAGCCUGCAGCCCACACCCUGGGGUCUGAUGAAAGGACUCACACUCCAGUCUGCAUUCCUGCUGCACCUGCCAGACCCUGCUGACAAAAUUUCUGUUUCUCCAUUGACCAAAUAAAACUGCAGUGUGGCCCCUUGGAGGGUUCCAGGAAAACUGAAGCUCCACUUCUCGUUUUUUAAGUUAGCCUGCUGCCACCUGGAGCUGAAAGCUGUAAUCCCCACUCACCCUGGUGGGGACCUGACCUCUCUCCCACUGGAACCAG